rnacentral:rRNA from 1 species
AACGAACGCUGGCGGCAUGCCUAACACAUGCAAGUCGAACGAGAUCUUCGGGUCUAGUGGCGCACGGGUGCGUAACGCGUGGGAAUCUGCCCUUUGGUUCGGAAUAACAGUUGGAAACGACUGCUAAUACCGGAUGAUGACGAAAGUCCAAAGAUUUAUCGCCAGAGGAUGAGCCCGCGUAGGAUUAGCUAGUUGGUGUGGUAGAGGCGCGCCAAGGCGACGAUCCUUAGCUGGUCUGAGAGGAUGAUCAGCCACACUGGGACUGAGACACGGCCCAGACUCCUACGGGAGGCAGCAGUGGGGAAUAUUGGACAAUGGGCGAAAGCCUGAUCCAGCAAUGCCGCGUGAGUGAUGAAGGCCUUAGGGUUGUAAAGCUCUUUUACCCGGGAUGAUAAUGACAGUACCGGGAGAAUAAGCUCCGGCUAACUCCGUGCCAGCAGCCGCCGUAA